rnacentral:rRNA from 1 species
GAGGCGNUGCUAAUACAUGCAAGUCGAGCGAACAGACGAGGAGCUUGCUCCUCUGACGUUAGCGGCGGACGGGUGAGUAACACGUGGAUAACCUACCUAUAAGACUGGGAUAACUUCGGGAAACCGGAGCUAAUACCGGAUAAUAUAUUGAACCGCAUGGUUCAAUAGUGAAAGACGGUUUUGCUGUCACUUAUAGAUGGAUCCGCGCCGCAUUAGCUAGUUGGUAAGGUAACGGCUUACCAAGGCAACGAUGCGUAGCCGACCUGAGAGGGUGAUCGGCCACACUGGAACUGAGACACGGUCCAGACUCCUACGGGAGGCAGCAGUAGGGAAUCUUCCGCAAUGGGCGAAAGCCUGACGGAGCAACGCCGCGUGAGUGAUGAAGGUCUUCGGAUCGUAAAACUCUGUUAUUAGGGAAGAACAAAUGUGUAAGUAACUAUGCACGUCUUGACGGUACCUAAUCAGAAAGCCACGGCUAACUACGUGCCAGCAGCCGCGGUAAUACGUAGGUGGCAAGCGUUAUCCGGAAUUAUUGGGCGUAAAGCGCGCGUAGGCGGUUUUUUAAGUCUGAUGUGAAAGCCCACGGCUCAACCGUGGAGGGUCAUUGGAAACUGGAAAACUUGAGUGCAGAAGAGGAAAGUGGAAUUCCAUGUGUAGCGGUGAAAUGCGCAGAGAUAUGGAGGAACACCAGUGGCGAAGGCGACUUUCUGGUCUGUAACUGACGCUGAUGUGCGAAAGCGUGGGGAUCAAACAGGAUUAGAUACCCUGGUAGUCCACGCCGUAAACGAUGAGUGCUAAGUGUUAGGGGGUUUCCGCCCCUUAGUGCUGCAGCUAACGCAUUAAGCACUCCGCCUGGGGAGUACGACCGCAAGGUUGAAACUCAAAGGAAUUGACGGGGACCCGCACAAGCGGUGGAGCAUGUGGUUUAAUUCGAAGCAACGCGAAGAACCUUACCAAAUCUUGACAUCCUCUGACCCCUCUAGAGAUAGAGUUUUCCCCUUCGGGGGACAGAGUGACAGGUGGUGCAUGGUUGUCGUCAGCUCGUGUCGUGAGAUGUUGGGUUAAGUCCCGCAACGAGCGCAACCCUUAAGCUUAGUUGCCAUCAUUAAGUUGGGCACUCUAAGUUGACUGCCGGUGACAAACCGGAGGAAGGGGGGGAUGACGCCAAUCAUCAUGCUCCUUAGNAUUGGGNUAACACGGGNUNAAUGGACAAUACAAGG